rnacentral:rRNA from 1 species
AACGAACGCUGGCGGCAUGCCUAACACAUGCAAGUCGAACGAGACCUUCGGGUCUAGUGGCGCACGGGUGCGUAACGCGUGGGAACCUGCCCUUAGGUUCGGAAUAACUCCCCGAAAGGGGUGCUAAUACCGGAUAAUGUCUUCGGACCAAAGAUUUAUCGCCUUUGGAUGGGCCCGCGUUGGAUUAGCUAGUUGGUAGGGUAAUAGCCUACCAAGGCGACGAUCCAUAGCUGGUCUGAGAGGAUGAUCAGCCACACUGGGACUGAGACACGGCCCAGACUCCUACGGGAGGCAGCAGUGGGGAAUAUUGGACAAUGGGCGAAAGCCUGAUCCAGCAAUGCCGCGUGAGUGAUGAAGGCCUUAGGGUUGUAAAGCUCUUUUACCCUGGAUGAUAAUGACAGUACCGGGAGAAUAAGCUCCGGCUAACUCCGUG